AACGCACAUUGCGCCCAGCAGUAUUCUGCUGGGCAUGCCUGUCCGAGCGUCAUUUCAACCCUCGGGACCCCGUUUCGGCGGGGACCCGGCGUUGGGGAUCGGCCGCCCACUGCGGCGUGCCGGCCCCGAAAUGAAUUGGCGGUCUCGCUGUGACUCCCCUGCGUAGUAGUAACAUCUCGCAUGCGGAUAGCGGCGCGGCCACGCCGUAAAACCCCAACUUUUACCAAGGUUGACCUCGGAUCAGGUAGGAAUACCCGCUGAACUUAA
rnacentral:misc_RNA from 1 species